CUGGCUUUCCUUGGGCGGGGCCUGGCUGGGGGAGACUUGAAGAGGAAGGCUGAGGCGUGCGCUCGGCCGCUUCCCGGGGCAGGCUGCUGCUUCCUGCAGCCCGGACUUCCCGCCCGCCGUGCGCGCCUUGGCCCUGCCCGCCUUGCCGCGGAGGGCCGGGGAAGAGCGCUGGGCAGAGGAGGGCCCCUUUGGAGGCAGUUGGUCGCCUGCUGCCACCUUCAAGGCGCCUUCCGCAGCGGCCGCCAGGGGGCGGCAGCCACUCGCUCAGUGGGCGCCUGUAAACGAGCUUCCCCAAAAGGCUCCACUCCCCGCCGCUGUCGUGCCUCGCUCCCUGACCUGCUCCCUGGGCCCAGCCCGCGGACGCCCCUGGACCCUGUGCCGGCCUUAGCCGCCCGGUCGGCCGGCUGUGCUGCCCCGCGCGGACUCCCCAAAUGCCGCCGCCUUGCGGCCGGCCUCGCAGCAGCCCCGGAGGCGGCGCCGGAGCGGAGCGGAGCGGAGCGGAGCGGGAGCCGGGCCUCUCCGCAGCCGGCUCCCAAGUCCCGCCUCACCGCGCGCUCGCCCGUCGCCCCCUGCGGGGGGCGUGCGGGGCCGCUCGGCGCUCCCGGCUGCACCCUCCCCGCAGCCAGCCCUUGGGAGACGCCUGGCGCCGGGGCCUGGACGUCCUCCCGCCCGAGUGCCCCGCCGGCCGCGGCGGGCCCGGCCGGGGGGGCGCCGCAUCUGUAUGCGCCGGGCGGCCCGGCAGCGCCGCCCCCGCCCCCGCCGCGCGGGCCCGGGCUGGCCGGGGAGGGUCGGAGGCUGGGCUCUCCCGCGCGCCGCGGAGCCGCCUCGCUCCUCCGCAGGCGGAGCCUCCUUCCCCCGCCCCCUCCGUCUCGCUCCCUUGUUCUCGCCGGGGCCGCUCAGACCUGCAGCGGAGCCGCGGCGCCCGCUCGGAUCCGCUCGGGGCUGCGCCCCCGGGACCGGCGGCGGGGGCGGGGGGAAGCUCCCCCCGGCCUGGGCUCCACAGCGCUGCCAGGUAAGGGCGCCGGCCCCGGGGUCGGGGGCCCGCCGAGGGGCAGCAGGGGGCCCGCAGCCUGCGGGUGUCCUCGGAGCGGUGCGCUCCGCGGCGGGGAGCCCGCUGCCGGCCCCUCUCCCGCGCUCUCGUUCCCUUCUUCCCUCGCACCUCUCCCUCCUUUCCCCAUUUUCCUCCCCGCCAGUUCGCCUCUCCUCUGCCCCUUCCGUCUCCCUGUCGCCCUGUCUUUCUCCACCUCCUCUUCCCCUUUGCCGUCUCCUUCCCCUACCUUUCCUUUCCCGUCUUCUCUUUGCCUUUUCCCGCUCUCCCUUCCUUCCCGUCCCUCCGCUCUCCCUCCUCUCCCCGUUCUGCUAUCCUGUUUCCCACUCCUCCAGCCCUUCCCUUCUCCUCCUUCUCCUCGUCCCGCCUCCCGCUCCGUCCCCGGCUUCCCUCGGGCUUCCCCUCUUCUCCCCCCGGAGGGCAAGGACUGGCAGGUGUGUGUCUGCUCCAGGGAAGGAGGGGCGGCAGCACAGCUGCCUGAGGGGUCCCCCCGGGGGAGAGGGUGGACACCGCGGUGGGAAGGGUCCUCUCCCCAGCCGCCUUCCCGCAGCCCCUCCUGGCUUGCCUCCUCUCCCAGAUUGAAGUUCCCGAGGCCUGCUCUGACCCCCGGAGCUCAGCGCUGCCCCCGCCAGCCCAUCACAGGCAGGAAGCCCUCCCACCCCCGCACCCCCAAGCCUGUUACCUGUGACUCUCUGCCUGUCAGACCCCAGGCUGCCUCCUGGGGUCCCUUUCCUUGUGUCUCCUGCUGCCAUUCUGUCUCAGUCUGUGCUGGACGGUGCCUGAGCCUGGGUCUCACGUCAGUAACAGGGAGUCUGGAGUCUGCUCUCCCCUCCCAGCCUCCUGGCCCUGCCACCACCCGCCCCCCCCACUCUACCCCUUCUUCUUUAGGCUCCUGCCCCCUCACCCCACUCUGCCUCCUGAACCCAAUCCCCCUUCAAGGACUUCAGCUGGCAGGGUGGGCUGGGGGCAGCACCCGGAGAGGUGGGGUUCCCUGUGGAGGAGGGACUUUCGCUGGCUCUCCACCCUGUCUUAAGCUGCACUCCUUAUCAUAG
rnacentral:lncRNA from 1 species